UUUCUACCCGGCAUGCAUCUCGCGGUGAUCGAUUCUGCGCAGAUUUAGCUAAUCUCAUACACAAGCCUAAUAAAGAAAAUAACUUUGAACUCUUCCGCAUAAUGGAGUCAGUCAUAAAAACGAAUCAAGGAGAUACUAAAUGGGAUAUACGCCAUAAAGUAUGGAACUACAUUGAAGUGAAAAACCUGGCCAGUUUCCCUCGACCUGUGCACAACAGAAUUCCCAAUUUCAAGGUAAGAAAAAGCAUUGC